UAAUACCUGCCAAGUUGGUCCGCACUGGCCCCAACUGAUUGAUGGUGCUUGCCCCCUGAUUGAUGAUGGAUCACCAGUGAGUGGCGGACGGGGUGAGUAACACGUAGGUAACCUGCCCCGGAGCGGGGGAUAACAUUUGGAAACAGAUGCUAAUACCGCAUAACAACAAAAGCCACAUGGCUUUUGUUUGAAAGAUGGCUUUGGCUAUCACUCUGGGAUGGACCUGCGGUGCAUUAGCUAGUUGGUAAGGUAACGGCUUACCAAGGCGAUGAUGCAUAGCCGAGUUGAGAGACUGAUCGGCCACAAUGGAACUGAGACACGGUCCAUACUCCUACGGGAGGCAGCAGUAGGGAAUCUUCCACAAUGGGCGCAAGCCUGAUGGAGCAACACCGCGUGAGUGAAGAAGGGUUUCGGCUCGUAAAGCUCUGUUGUUGGAGAAGAACGUGCGUGAGAGUAACUGUUCACGCAGUGACGGUAUCCAACCAGAAAGUCACGGCUAACUACGUGCCAGCAGCCGCGGUAAUACGUAGGUGGCAAGCGUUAUCCGGAUUUAUUGGGCGUAAAGCGAGCGCAGGCGGUUGCUUAGGUCUGAUGUGAAAGCCUUCGGCUUAACCGAAGAAGUGCAUCGGAAACCGGGCGACUUGAGUGCAGAAGAGGACAGUGGAACUCCAUGUGUAGCGGUGGAAUGCGUAGAUAUAUGGAAGAACACCAGUGGCGAAGGCGGCUGUCUGGUCUGCAACUGACGCUGAGGCUCGAAAGCAUGGGUAGCGAACAGGAUUAGAUACCCUGGUAGUCCAUGCCGUAAACGAUGAGUGCUAGGUGUUGGAGGGUUUCCGCCCUUCAGUGCCGGAGCUAACGCAU
rnacentral:rRNA from 1 species